rnacentral:lncRNA from 1 species
ACACAUUUCAAAGAGCUGAUUUGAGAGGUUAGUCACAACUGAAUCUUUCAGAGGAGGAAAGAGCAGACACUAGGCACAGAACAAAGAGCAAAUGAAACAGGAACUGUGGAAUAACACUGUGUUCCCAAAGAAAACAUAACUGCCAUAGAUCACAGAAUGAAAGCCCCAGAGCACGCAGCAGAGAAGUCCAGCAACAGGAGUCAACAUUUACAGAAAACCCUGUAGGAAGACUGUGGCACUACCAACUGAUCAACAUGUUACAGAACUCAUUUUAUACUGCAGCCAGGCUGAGGAGGGCCCAUCACCUGCACAUAAAUAUUUGGACAGUGGCGACAACUUGAAGACAGCUAGCUGCAGAGUGAUAUUCCAGAAUAAGAGUUUUGAAGCUCCAGAUGACUAGCUGACCUGGGUAUUAAUGCUGGAUAUAGCAACGUCCUUCUAUGUCCUUCUAAAUUUUCUUCAUGAGUAGUGAUAAGUUAUGCUGAGAAAAAUUCUUGAACCUACAGUUAUACAACAUUGUUCUUGCCGCCUUUCAAAAAUGGACAAUGUCUCCCAUAUGGAAUAUCUACUGAUGAUCUUGCAAGAAGGUGAAUAAAAAAUCCAAUGAAGACAUAAAACGAGUUUCAUUUAAAAAAUCUGGUAAAAUGGAAGUUUGCUUUACACAAACAGUAAAGAAGCCUUGGAAGAUAAUGUUGACUUCCCAUGCUCAAAAGUACUCUGACUCAGGAAGAUAGCUCCAGCCCUUCAAAGGAAGGGCUGUCUGCAAUAAAUGCCCAUGGAGACCUCUCAGCAAUUCCAUAAGAUAAGUGAAUUGGCUUAAAUCAAAUGUUUUGCAGUUCCAUUUACAGAGCAUUUACUGGCCAUCGUGUACUACUCAAGUUACUAGAACACUAAGUUGACUCAUGCUUGGAAAUACUGGUUUUAUGUUGCUAUCAGAGUAUUGUCAUAAAUCCACCCACAAUUACAAAGAGUCCUACUCUGCUGCUGUAGCUACCUUUAACUCCUUGCCCUCAGCAAAUUGUAUGCCUAGGGAGAUGGACUACUUCGGCCUUGAGAAAUUUCCAAUUAGGUCAUUUUGAGAAGCAGUCUGGAUGUGUGGUCUGAAAUAGCAUUUCCAGUUUUUGCCUAUUUUUAUUUUUGAGAACUGCUUGCAAAUAAAUGCCACUGAGUUUGUUAGGAAGAGGUUACUCUUUACUACCUUUGGGAAUUGUGCCUUACCCUUAGGUUGCACAGCUUCUAUUUUCUGAGUCCCUUCUGAUUUUCUCAUAUGGUUGCUGCAAAUUGCAAAAUCAUUGUAAGCUUCUGUUUCUUCACUAGCAAAAUGAGAAAUAGUAACACACCUAGGGAUUGGGAGGAUGAACUGAGGAAAUAUAGCCAUUGGAUUAUUUUUAUAAGGCCCCUACAAAUUGAUGGCAAAAAAAGACCUGGCCCUUUGAAAGAGCAUCCCAUCUCCUCAAAUGUGUACUAGUGAGUUUACAAGAGGCUAUAAUGACAGCUGAAGUUAUCCUUGUUCAAGUAUAAAUAUGGACUUGGAAAAAUAAGUCAGGAAUCUAUGGAACUGCAUUGAAAACUCAGCUGUGCAUUGCUUAGUCACAUAGGAAACACGGUAAGGAAAUGCAAUGUGAUCAGAUCAGCUUAACCCCUAGAGUGCAAGCUGGAUACGGGAGCAGGGCAGUAAAACCAGGAAAACUGAGGGGAUGGUAGCCUUUUAGGAGAAAAAUAUAAGAGGAAAAACAAAUCUAGGAAAGAAAAAUAUGAAGCAGAGAAAAGGCUGUGAAAAGAAAGAGAAAAAUCAGUCUAAGAAGCCAAGAUAUUUGAGUAGCAGGCAGUGUUUUGAAUGUGCAAUGAUGACAAAUAAUCCCAAAGAUGGAUGUGUGUCACACGCUGGAGAGCAGUGACAGUGAGAAGAUGAGAUGUCUCUAAGGCAGACCUUGGUUUAAAUCUCAAGUCUGUGGCUUAUUAACUUUGCAGUGUCAAGCAACUUACUUCAUUCUUCUGAGACUCAUCUGUAAAAUAUGGAUAAUUACUGUAUUUCUGCACUGUUGUGAAUAUUUUAGUUAAUAUAUGCAUAUUUGUCCCUAGCAAAAUGCAAUGAGUAACAGUUAUUAGUUAGUCUAAAGAGGAAAUAAAGGGAGGGACAACUAAGAGUAAAGUUGUCCACUUUCUACUUCAGCUCUCCCCUCCAAGGGAAAAGGUGAUAUGUUGGUGCUAAGUCUGACUGAAGGCAUCUGGGUCACAUGUACCUAUGAGAGUCCCUGACUAGAAUCUAGUUGUUUCCUGCAAUAAUAUCAUAUGUAUUAGAGCAGGUUGUUCAACAGAGUAAUAUGUGUGGUUAUUUAAAUUUAAACUAAAAGUUAAAAUAUGCUUUGUUUCAAUAGCUACAUUUCAAAUAAUCAACAGCCACAUGGCUGGUAGGCAGCAUACACACACACACACACACACACACACACACACACAUAUAUUUACAUAUAUGCUGUGCAUAUAUAUGCAUAUCUUUGUGUAUGUAUGUGUAUUUCUGUCAUCACAAAAAGUUCUAUUGUCUGACCUUGCUUGACUACGGUGGAUUAUGUGGCCAAAAAAAAAGUAAUUCCGUAAGUCAAGAAAGUGGGCAAAGAUUGAGGAGAGAAAUUAGAAUAGGAAGAUAGGGCUUCUGCUGAGGGAAGCCCUUCUCUUUUUAAAAAAUACCUGAGGUGAUGGCAGUAGAAAGGAGUGCUUAAGAUUAGAAAGGUGAGUUAACCAUAAACUGUGAUGUCUAUGGCCUGGGGCAAGGAUGAAAGGAUUGCAGCCACACUUGAAAUUUGCUCUAGGAGUGGUAUUGUGGUCCCAGAAAACCUAUUACAUGGUGACUAACAUGGAGA